rnacentral:ncRNA from 2 species
CAAGUUAGAAUGGUGUUAAAAUAUUCCCAAUAGGACAAGGGAGAAAUAACCCUUACAGAAUAUGAAAUUUAUCUUCAUCAGAUUCAUAUUCUGACCGAAGUU